GGCACCCUCGGGAGGCAGCAGUGAGGGAUAUUGCACAAUGGGGGGAACCCUGAUGCAGCGACGCCGCGUGGGUGAAGAAGCGCCUCGGCGCGUAAAGCCCUGUCAGCAGGGAAGAAAAUGACGGUACCUGAAGAAGAAGCCCCGGCUAACUACGUGCCAGCAGCCGCGGUAAUACGUAGGGGGCAAGCGUUAUCCGGAUUUACUGGGUGUAAAGGGGGCGCAGACGGCGAUGCAAGCCAGGAGUGAAAGCCCGGGGCCCAACCCCGGGACUGCAUUUGGAACUGUAAGGCUAGAGUGUCGGAGAG
rnacentral:rRNA from 1 species